CUCGGGCACGUGGAGGGUGCAGGUGUGUGAGGAAGUGCGGAAUGAAUGGGGGACGCGGACUGGGAACUGCUGAUGGGGCUUAGGAAUUCUCGCCCUGCCUUCAGAAUGCUUUUUACUGGAGUGUGGAAGAAAUGUGAGAAAGAGGUGUCUUAGAUGAGAGGAGACAAGACUGGACUGCAUGGAUCAAGGGAGAAGAAAACGCUGAAAAGAUCAUUAAAAAGGAAAAGAAGGAAAGAUUACGUGUACAUCCAUACUAUGUUCAGUCAAGAGAAUGAUUCUCUGUGGGCCAGGUGAAUCUCAGUUGAUACGAGAAGAUGAAGGUUUAACACAACGAGACCUGCUGCUGCUCAGCUGCUUCCCAGCAGUUGUGAUACAGUGCUCACAUGCAUUUGUAUUAUGGCAAACUCAGGUAAGUGAUAUUUGUUUUUUAUUAUCUAGAAAAGCGUUUGGGUGAGGAAACCCAAAAGGUGGGUUUGAGGAGCCAUCGGACUGCAAGCUUGCAACCUGCAUAGCACAGGAUUCUGUCCCAGGAGGAAACUGAAGCUGACUUGGUCCCGUGCUGUAGUAACGACACGUCACUGCUUUGGAAAAACAAUAAAAAGAAGAAUGAAUAAAGAAAGCACUGAGAAUUCCAACGCCAUAAAAAGAUAAGAAACAGAAUGUAUUUUGAGUGAAAAUGGAAAAGUCUUGUGUUAUGCAAGGCCAAAAUCUCCAAAACAGGUGUGUUCCUAACAGCAUGGCACUGAGCAUGGAUGAAUUCAUUGCAGCUGAGGUACUCUUAGGUUCUGAUUGGAACAGUUUGUGGGUACAUCUCAGAGAUGUUCCAGCUCAGAUAUUUCUGCCUCAGGCCUGCACUUGUACCAUUGGUUCUUGUGGUUUGGCUGAACUGGAGCAAAAGGAACAGAAAGUCACAAGGAUUGUUUACAAAGAAAAAUGUAUGAAGGGGGAAUGUAGAAACAGUUGAACAAAUAAAGAGGUAAUGAAGAGAAGGAGAAUCAGUGAGUCAUAAGUGAACAUGGACCAACCUUCAAAGGAAGCGAUGGAUGCGUGUAGGUGGCAGAAUGCUUGGAUGUUACGUGGAGGGUAUUUCAGUGCUGGCAUUUGAUUUGAAAGAAUCACCACGCAGGUCUACUUUCUACUAAUUUACAUGAAAUUACUAACUCUCCUCUAAUUUGUAUGAGGACAUUUCAGAGCUCUGCGUGUGAUUUGCGAAGGCAAUUUGUGCCAAUGGAAAGGUGUACACACAGCAUAUGAAUGAGUGCAAGGGAACUUGAUCAAAAUUCCAGUCUCAUGUAUUUUUUCUGAACACUUGCUGCACUCCUUUCGGAUCUGGAAAAUUGCAGACUGACAUAUCUCUGGAUUUUUUAUGUUGUGAUUCUUUUUUCCUAAGAUCUACGCCCUACUGGUUCUGGGAAACUUGUGACCUCUGCAUUUUUAAUUAGAACUUGUAACAUUUUCCAUAGCAACAUAUUUUGAUGUCGCAAAUACAGAACCUGUCAAAUCAAACAAUUUCCAAGUGCAAAGCUACGGUCUUCUGGUCAAUUGAAGUCCAAGUACAUAAAAACACUGAGAUGCAAGGAAGACUGAAAAUCAUUUGUUGGUUGACUCAUACCUUUGAUCUUCAUAAUUAAAAAAUCAAUACAGAUAUAAAAGAAUUACAUUGCAUGCUGGAGUGGUUUAGAUGAAGAACUCGGUACUAAUUUCAUUGCAGAUGAGAGCAGAUAGAAUCCAUCUGUGUGACUGGUGUGCCAGUACUAAUAUGGUACAAAGGAAAGGAACUAUUUCUAGGAAAUAGUCGAGAUAUGGAAAAACUUCACUCACAUGAUGAACUGUGUGAGCAGGAAGUGAAGAAAAAUCUGAAACAAGGCCUGAGUUCAGAUUUCAACAGACCCACAAUAUUAGGAGGAAUAAUACGAUUUGAUACGAUGCCUUAAGAAAAGCAGUGUAACUUAGCACUUAAAUAUGUAUAUGAAAAAUAAAUCACUUAUUUAUGAUACAUGCCUCGCAAGUGCCAAGUAAGACUUCUGUCAAGUUUGAAGAAGAUAAACUAAGAAUUUUUGUCAGUCAGAUGCAUUUAUCCUUCCUUUUCCUGCUUUAAGCUAAGACUAAUGGCCUAGGAAGGCAUAUUUUACUGCCAUUGCUAAGACUGCAAAAGGUAAUCGCCUUCUGCAAGGACAUCCACGUGUAACUGUUUGUCACACCAGCAGCCAAGAGACAUGGAUGUGAUCAUCAAGUUUUGUUAAAUCAAAUGCUGAAUGCCACGAACCUUUCAGGAGGAAAAGGCAAGAGUCAGUGUGAAACACGGUAAGAACUUCUUUGUUUCUGGUAGCAUUGGGUGUGUGACUACCAUCCCUUUGCUUAUUCCAUCUAUUUCCACAUUUCUACAAAGUAAAAGAACCCAACCCACUGGAAUAUUAAGGUAAACGUGGUGUGUUUUAACCUUGCAUUGCAGAUAAGGAAUUCCUGGGGUUCCUCAAUCCUGCAUGAUUCCAGGCACCCCACCUGAGUGUGCAUAAGGGAAAGGGGAACAAAAAUAGAUUUUUCUGUUUCCUAGCAAGAAUCUGAUAGUUCCCCUCUACUGCCUUUGGUGUAAAAGAAAACCGAAGUUCAGCAUUCUAGAAGAUGUAUUAUAGCAGCCUGAAAGACUUAUAGAGUAUACAAAGAGAUGACAAUACUUCCAUGAUGGAGAUUUUCUGCUUUAGAAUGAAGUGAAAAACAACAACAACAACAACAACAACAACAACAACAAACCUCCUAAAAUUGUUAUAACAGUAAUUUUAAAAAAAAAUUGUUUAAACUCCACAACUCGAUACAAAAAGCAUUGCUACAAAAGGUUUGAUUUUCAAGAAAUCAUUUUUAAACUUACUUAUAAACUUAUUUAAAACAAGAUAGAAGCCUCUGCUGCUAUCUCUAACAUUCACUUCCAUAGUAGGACAGCUGAUUUGCAACUAUUGUACGAAAGAUACAGAAAGUGUCACUUAAGUGAAAAAAAAAAAAAAUUAUUUUAAGGACAAAUAGUAAAAAUUGAAUGCUUUGGAGCUUAGAGAAACAGAGUUUCAAGGAUUUUGCCCUCCAGUGCAAACUGCUCAUACUUAUGUUGUAGGAGCAUCUUGACUACAAGAGUCUUAGUGGAAGAAAACUGGCAUUGCCUUUAUAGAAAUGUAUUUAAUUCUGUGUUUGCAGUUUUCCCAGCUUCAUCCAUAUAUGCUGGCCUCGAGGGCCCUAAAGAUGUCACAAUUUUAAACAGUCUUAUAAAUCUAGGAGGGGAAAUGAGCUGUCUCUCAAACAGAGAGCCUUGGAGAAUGUCUAGGGGGCUUCACCAGCGGAGCUGCUGAAAACAAAGCUAUGAUUCAGGGGUCUCUGACCUUUCCCAGCCCUCCUCCACCAGUGUCAGCCUGCAGCCUGCUCUUUAAAAUUUUCUGCUCACCCAGGGAGCAAAAUUAGAAAUCUUCUCCAGGGAGAGUUUUUCUUCCAUCAAGCCACUCAUCAGUCCACUGAGGCAUGGAAACCAAAAAGGAAAGUCAGUUAAAAGAAUGUAUGCUGCUUGGUAAGGAUUUCCCACAGCAGAGUGUAAAUGUCCAAACCAGCUCAUCAGCAGAGUGCCAGCCUUUCCUGUAGGUCUGGGUGCUGUCUGUACUGUGGUGGUAUAGAAAAGUGCCAAACGCCGUGCAGGUGAUGCAUGCAUCAACACAGCAGAUGUGCAGGUGUGUUUGAACUGCUUAACAUCAGCACUUAUCAAAUCUUGAAGACACACUAUGACAAAUAAAAGCAUUCAUUCAGAUGUGCGUGGCAUUUCAUGAAUGGAAUCAUUAUUAUCUUCUCCAAAAAUUUUUGGUCUUAUGUUUAAUAUAAUAUAAUAUAUUGC